rnacentral:rRNA from 3 species
GACGAACGCUGGCGGCGUGCCUAAUACAUGCAAGUCGAACGAACUCUGGUAUUGAUUGGUGCUUGCAUCAUGAUUUACAUUUGAGUGAGUGGCGAACUGGUGAGUAACACGUGGGAAACCUGCCCAGAAGCGGGGGAUAACACCUGGAAACAGAUGCUAAUACCGCAUAACAACUUGGACCGCAUGGUCCGAGCUUGAAAGAUGGCUUCGGCUAUCACUUUUGGAUGGUCCCGCGGCGUAUUAGCUAGAUGGUGGGGUAACGGCUCACCAUGGCAAUGAUACGUAGCCGACCUGAGAGGGUAAUCGGCCACAUUGGGACUGAGACACGGCCCAAACUCCUACGGGAGGCAGCAGUGGGGAAUCUUCCACAAUGGACGAAAGUCUGAUGGAGCAACGCCGCGUGAGUGAAGAAGGGUUUCGGCUCGUAAAACUCUGUUGUUAAAGAAGAACAUAUCUGAGAGUAACUGUUCAGGUAUUGACGGUAUUUAACCAGAAAGCCACGGCUAACUACGUGCCAGCAGCCGCGGUAAUACGUAGGUGGCAAGCGUUGUCCGGAUUUAUUGGGCGUAAAGCGAGCGCAGGCGGUUUUUUAAGUCUGAUGUGAAAGCCUUCGGCUCAACCGAAGAAGUGCAUCGGAAACUGGGAAACUUGAGUGCAGAAGAGGACAGUGGAACUCCAUGUGUAGCGGUGAAAUGCGUAGAUAUAUGGAAGAACACCAGUGGCGAAGGCGGCUGUCUGGUCUGUAACUGACGCUGAGGCUCGAAAGUAUGGGUAGCAAACAGGAUUAGAUACCCUGGUAGUCCAUACCGUAAACGAUGAAUGCUAAGUGUUGGAGGGUUUCCGCCCUUCAGUGCUGCAGCUAACGCAUUAAGCAUUCCGCCUGGGGAGUACGGCCGCAAGGCUGAAACUCAAAGGAAUUGACGGGGGCCCGCACAAGCGGUGGAGCAUGUGGUUUAAUUCGAAGCUACGCGAAGAACCUUACCAGGUCUUGACAUACUAUGCAAAUCUAAGAGAUUAGACGUUCCCUUCGGGGACAUGAAUACAGGUGGUGCAUGGUUGUCGUCAGCUCGUGUCGUGAGAUGUUGGGUUAAGUCCCGCAACGAGCGCAACCCUUAUUAUCAGUUGCCAGCAUUAAGUUGGGCACUCUGGUGAGACUGCCGGUGACAAACCGGAGGAAGGUGGGGAUGACGUCAAAUCAUCAUGCCCCUUAUGACCUGGGCUACACACGUGCUACAAUGGAUGGUACAACGAGUUGCGAACUCGCGAGAGUAAGCUAAUCUCUUAAAGCCAUUCUCAGUUCGGAUUGUAGGCUGCAACUCGCCUACAUGAAGUCGGAAUCGCUAGUAAUCGCGGAUCAGCAUGCCGCGGUGAAUACGUUCCCGGGCCUUGUACACACCGCCCGUCACACCAUGAGAGUUUGUAACACCCAAAGUCGGUGGGGUAACCUUUUAGGAACCAGCCGCCUAAGGUGGGACAGAUGAUUAGGGUG